UCUGACCUGCAUCAGUUCAUUUGUACCUUCUUUAUGCAGGAGCCCACAGAGGCCAGAAGAUGGCAUUAGAGUACUGAGAACUGGAGUUACAGAUAGUUGUGAACCUCCAUGUGGGUGCUGAGAACUGAACCCCAGGCCUAUGUGUCCGCAUGAGUGCAUCUGUUUUAUUGCUGCUGCUGCUGCUGCAACUGCCACCAUAUCUUUCCCUGACAUCAGAAGCCAGCAUGCUUGGUCAUCCAAUGUGGACUGAAGACCAGUAACUCUCCAGGAAUCUACCAGGCCUUCAGCACCAGAUUAUCUCUGCUAAGGAGGGAUCCAGCCACAUGGACCAAGUAGCUAUUGGGUUCCCAGCUUUUCUAGAGAGUAACUGUGUUUAGACUAACCAGUUUAUGGCAUGUAAGUCAAUCUAAUAAAGCCAGUUUUCAAUAA